GACGAACGCUGGCGGCGUGCUUAACACAUGCAAGUCGAACGAUGAUCAGGAGCUUGCUCCUGUGAUUAGUGGCGAACGGGUGAGUAACACGUGAGUAACCUGCCCCUGACUCUGGGAUAAGCGUUGGAAACGACGUCUAAUACUGGAUACGACUGCCGGCCGCAUGGUCUGGUGGUGGAAAGAUUUUUUGGUUGGGGAUGGACUCGCGGCCUAUCAGCUUGUUGGUGAGGUAAUGGCUCACCAAGGCGACGACGGGUAGCCGGCCUGAGUGGGUGACCGGCCACACUGGGACUGAGACACGGCCCAGACUCCUACGGGAGGCAGCAGUGGGGAAUAUUGCACAAUGGGCGAAAGCCUGAUGCAGCAACGCCGCGUGAGGGAUGACGGCCUUCGGGUUGUAAACCUCUUUUAGUAGGGAAGAAGCGAAAGUGACGGUACCUGCAGAAAAAGCACCGGCUAACUACGUGCCAGCAGCCGCCGUAA
rnacentral:rRNA from 1 species